rnacentral:rRNA from 1 species
AACGAACGCUGGCGGCAGGCCUAACACAUGCAAGUCGGGCGAGGACUUCGGUUCUAGCGGCGGACGGGUGAGUAACGCGUGGGAAUGUGCCCUUCUCUACGGAAUAGCCCUGGGAAACUGGGAGUAAUACCGUAUACGCCCUAUUGGGGAAAGAUUUAUCGGAGAAGGAUCAGCCCGCGUUGGAUUAGGUAGUUGGUGGGGUAAUGGCCUACCAAGCCGACGAUCCAUAGCUGGUUUGAGAGGAUGAUCAGCCACACUGGGACUGAGACACGGCCCAGACUCCUACGGGAGGCAGCAGUGGGGAAUCUUAGACAAUGGGGGCAACCCUGAUCGAGCCAUGCCGCGUGAGUGAUGAAGGCCUUAGGGUUGUAAAGCUCUUUCAGCUGGGAAGAUAAUGACGGUACCAGCAGAAGAAGCCCCGGCUAACUCCGUG